rnacentral:sRNA from 12 species
CCCUGACAGUUACAUAAUGUGACUGACACUUGCCACGACAGGAGAAUCUCAUG